AGAGUUUGAUCAUGGCUCAGAUUGAACGCUGGCGGCAUGCUUUACACAUGCAAGUCGAACGGCAGCGCGGGGGCAACCCUGGCGGCGAGUGGCGAACGGGUGAGUAAUAUAUCGGAACGUACCCAAGAGUGGGGGAUAACGUAGCGAAAGUUACGCUAAUACCGCAUACGAUCUCAGGAUGAAAGCAGGGGACCGCAAGGCCUUGUGCUCCUGGAGCGGCCGAUAUCUGAUUAGCUAGUUGGUGAGGUAAAGGCUCACCAAGGCGACGAUCAGUAGCUGGUCUGAGAGGACGACCAGCCACACUGGAACUGAGACACGGUCCAGACUCCUACGGGAGGCAGCAGUGGGGAAUUUUGGACAAUGGGGGCAACCCUGAUCCAGCAAUGCCGCGUGAGUGAAGAAGGCCUUCGGGUUGUAAAGCUCUUUUGUCAGGGAAGAAACGGCUGCGGCUAAUAUCCGCGGCUAAUGACGGUACCUGAAGAAUAAGCACCGGCUAACUACGUGCCAGCAGCCGCGGUAAUACGUAGGGUGCAAGCGUUAAUCGGAAUUACUGGGCGUAAAGCGUGCGCAGGCGGUUUUGUAAGUCUGUCGUGAAAUCCCCGGGCUUAACCUGGGAAUUGCGAUGGAGACUGCAAGGCUGGAGUCUGGCAGAGGGGGGUAGAAUUCCACGUAGCAGUGAAAUGCGUAGAGAUGUGGAGGAACACCGAUGGCGAAGGCAGCCCCCUGGGUCAAGACUGACGCUCAUGCACGAAAGCGUGGGGAGCAAACAGGAUUAGAUACCCUAGUAGUCC
rnacentral:rRNA from 1 species